rnacentral:rRNA from 1 species
GGACCCGCACAAGUAGCGGAGCAUGUGGUUUAAUUCGAAGCAACGCGAAGAACCUUACCUAAGCUUGACAUCCUUUUGACCGAUGCCUAAUCGCAUCUUUCCCUUCGGGGACAGAAGUGACAGGUGGUGCAUGGUUGUCGUCAGCUCGUGUCGUGAGAUGUUGGGUUAAGUCCCGCAACGAGCGCAACCCUUGCCUUUAGUUGCCAUCAUUAAGUUGGGCACUCUAGAGGGACUGCCAGGGAUAACCUGGAGGAAGGUGGGGAUGACGUCAAAUCAUCAUGCCCCUUAUGCUUAGGGCUACACACGUGCUACAAUGGGUGGUACAGAGGGCAGCCAAGUCGUGAGGCCGAGCUAAUCCCUUAAAGCCAUUCUCAGUUCGGAUUGUAGGCUGAAACUCGCCUACAUG